rnacentral:lncRNA from 1 species
AGAUGAAGAGCGAAUUAUUAGAGCAAGCAAUCAGGAAGACUAUAAGAAUACAUCCAGGAUAGCCUGCUGGAGGAUGGGAGAUUCUCAGUUCAGAUAUGGCUGCUGACCUAGCUGGCAGCCAGUAUACACCAGACCUGUACAUCAAACCACUCAAGAUGAAGAAUACCCCCACCAAGCCUAGCCUAAAUAUCUGGCCAUAGAUUGAUGAGCUAAAUGAAUUCUUAUUAUGCAGAUUAAAGCAAACGGCCAAAAACAAGGACAAAGUCCAAG